AUGUUUCCAUUAGUUUCUCUCUCUUCAUCUAACAAACAACAAACCUGCUCUGCACAUCUUCACUUUCUCCGACCCAAAUCACUGGAGAAGGUGGCGGCGUGUGGCAGCUGCUACCGUGUUCUCGUGAAGCCAUCACAUCAAAUUGCCAGAGUCCAAACAAACCCCCCCUUAAAUUUGAAGUGUGAUUACAAAUCCGGUCUCAAAAUGCUUAGAAUCCGAACCAAAAAUUCUAGAUCUAAAGGUGCACAACGAAACCCUAUAUUAUCAAAAUCAAAUUAA